rnacentral:rRNA from 1 species
GUGGGGAAUAUUGGACAAUGGGCGCAAGCCUGAUCCAGCCAUGCCGCGUGAGUGAUGAAGGCCUUAGGGUUGUAAAGCUCUUUCAGUGGGGACGAUAAUGACGGUACCCACAGAAGAAGCCCCGGCUAACUUCGUGCCAGCAGCCGCGGUAAUACGAAGGGGGCUAGCGUUGUUCGGAUUUACUGGGCGUAAAGCGCACGUAGGCGGAUCGUUAAGUCGGGGGUGAAAUCCUGGAGCUCAACUCCAGAACUGCCUUCGAUACUGGCGAUCUUGAGUCCGGAAGAGGUGAGUGGAACUCCUAGUGUAGAGGUGGAAUUCGUAGAUAUUAGGAAGAACACCAGUGGCGAAGGCGGCUCACUGGUCCGGUACUGACGCUGGGGUGCGAAAGCGUGGUGAGCAAACAGGAUUAGAAACCCCGGUAGUCC